rfam:Cavia porcellus supercont2_17 genomic scaffold, whole genome shotgun sequence.
UUGUUUUGGCAGCAUAUAUACUAAAGCUGGAAGGAUACAGAGAGGAUUAGCAUGGCCCCUGCACAAGGAUGACAGAAUACUUUUGGGAGUAGAGAGAGCAUUUAUUU